CCAAUAGCGUAUAUUAAAGUUGUUGCAGUUAAAAAGCUCGUAGUUGAAUUUCGGGAUCAAUAUGUCGGUCGUGCCUCGGUACGUACUGGCGCAAUUGGUUUCUCCCUUCUGAAGAACCUCGAUGUCAUUAAUUUGGUGUCGUGGGGAAUCAGGACUGUUACUUUGAAAAAAUUAGAGUGUUUAAAGCAGGCUCGCGCUUGAAUACAUUAGCAUGGAAUAAUGAAAUAGGACGUUUGAUUCUAUUUUGUUGGUUUCUAGGAUCGACGUAAUGAUUAAUAGGGAUAGUUGGGGGCAUUAGUAUUCAAUUGUCAGAGGUGAAAUUCUUGGAUUUAUUGAAGACUAACUACUGCGAAAGCAUUUGCCAAGGAUGUUUUCAUUAAUCAAGAACGAAAGUUAGGGGAUCGAAGACGAUCAGAUACCGUCGUAGUCUUAACCAUAAACUAUGCCGACUAGGGAUCGGAUGAUGUUAAUUUUUUAAUGACUCAUUCGGCGCCUUACG
rnacentral:rRNA from 1 species